UACGGAGGGUGCAAGCGUUAUCCGGAUUCACUGGGUUUAAAGGGUGCGUAGGUGUGUUGGUAAGUCAGUGGUGAAAUCUCCGAGCUUAACUUGGAAACUGCCGUUGAUACUAUCAAUCUUGAAUAUCGCGUAGGUAAGCGGAAUAUGUCAUGUAGCGGUGAAAUGCUUAGAUAUGACAUAGAACACCAAUUGCGAAGGCAGCUUACUUCACGAUCAUUGACACUGAGGCACGAAAGCGUGGGGAGCAAACAGG
rnacentral:rRNA from 1 species